GACGAACCGUGCGACCGUUGUUCGGAUUCACUGGGCUUAAAGGGCGCGUAGGCGGGUGACCAAGUCCGGGGUGAAAUCUUUCGGCUCAACCGGAAAACAGCCCUGGAUACUGGUCGUCUGGAGGGAGGUAGGGGCACGCGGAACUUCCGGUGGAGCGGUGAAAUGCGUAGAGAUCGGAAGGAACGCCGGUGGCGAAAGCGGCGUGCUGGACCUCUUCUGACGCUGAGGCGCGAAAGCCAGGGGAGCAAACGGG
rnacentral:rRNA from 1 species